rnacentral:rRNA from 1 species
UACGGGGGGAGCAAGUGUUGUUCGGAUUUACUGGGCGUAAAGGGCGCGUAGGCGGUCAGCACAAGUCAGUUGUGAAAUCUCCGGGCUUAACUCGGAAAGGUCAACUGAUACUGUGCGACUAGAGUGCAGAAGGGGCAACUGGAAUUCUCGGUGUAGCGGUGAAAUGCGUAGAUAUCGAGAGGAACACCUGCGGCGAAGGCGGGUUGCUGGGCUGACACUGACGCUGAUGCGCGAAAGCCAGGGGAGCGAACGGG